rnacentral:rRNA from 1 species
CAGUAGCCGCGGGAAUACGUAGGUGGCAAGCGUUGUCCGGAAUUAUUGGGCGUAAAGGGCUCGCAGGCGGUUUCUUAAGUCUGAUGUGAAAGCCCCCGGCUCAACCGGGGAGGGUCAUUGGAAACUGGGAAACUUGAGUGCAGAAGAGGAGAGUGGAAUUCCACGUGUAGCGGUGAAAUGCGUAGAGAUGUGGAGGAACACCAGUGGCGAAGGCGACUCUCUGGCCUGUAACUGACGCUGAGGAGCGAAAGCGUGGGGAGCGAACAGGAUUAGAUACCCCUGUAGUCCCUGUCUCUUAUAC